rnacentral:rRNA from 1 species
UACGUAGGUGGCAAGCGUUGUCCGGAAUUACUGGGCGUAAAGGGCUCGUAGGCGGCCGCUUAAGUCAGACGUGAAAUUCCUCGGCUCAACCGGGGCACUGCGUCUGAUACUGGAUGGCUUGAAUCCGGGAGAGGGAUGCAGAAUUCCAGGUGUAGCGGUGAAAUGCGUAGAUAUCUGGAGGAAUACCGGUGGCGAAGGCGGCAUCCUGGACCGGCAUUGACGCUGAGGAGCGAAAGCUAGGGGAGCAAACGGGAUUAGAAACCCCGGUAGU